GAUGAACGCUAGCGGCAGGCCUAACACAUGCAAGUCGAGGGGUAGAAGCUUUCGGGCUUUGAGACCGGCGCACGGGUGCGUAACGCGUAUGCAAUCUGCCUUGUACUGAGGGAUAGCCCAGAGAAAUUUGGAUUAACACCUCAUAGUAUUUUAGUGUGGCAUCACAUUAUUAUUAAAGGUUACGGUACAAGAUGAGCAUGCGUCCCAUUAGCUAGUUGGUAUGGUAACGGCAUACCAAGGCUACGAUGGGUAGGGGUCCUGAGAGGGAGAUCCCCCACACUGGUACUGAGACACGGACCAGACUCCUACGGGAGGCAGCAGUGAGGAAUAUUGGUCAAUGGUCGCAAGACUGAACCAGCCAUGCCGCGUGCAGGAUGAAGCAUCUAUGGUGUGUAAACUGCUUUCGUACGGGAAGAAACACCGCUACGUGUAGCGGCUUGACGGUACCGUAAGAAUAAGGAUCGGCUAACUCCGUGCCAGCAGCCGCCGUAACAC
rnacentral:rRNA from 1 species